GAUCUGCCCUUCGACGGGGGACAACAGUCCGAAAGGAUUGCUAAUACCGCAUACAUUGGAUGAGCUUAGAAGACAUUCAAGAAACUUACGGGGUCGAAGGAGGAGGCUGCGGCCCAUCAGGUAGUUGGUGCGGUAACGGCGCACCAAGCCGACGACGGGUAGGGGACCUGAGAGGGUGACCCCCCACACUGGGACAGACAUACGGCCCAGACUCCUACGGGAGGCAGCAGUAAGGGAUAUUGCGCAAUGGGCGAAAGCCUGACGCAGCAACGCCGCGUGGAG
rnacentral:rRNA from 1 species